UACAGAGGUCCCGAUCGUUGUUCGGAUUCACUGGGCGUAAAGGGUGCGUAGGUGGUGAGGAAAGUCGGAUGUGAAAUCUCCAAGCUCAACUUGGAAAUGGCAUUGGAAACUACCUUGCUGGAGGUUUGGAGGGGGGACUGGAAUACUUGGUGUAGCAGUGAAAUGCGUAGAUAUCAAGUGGAACACCAGUGGCGAAGGCGAGUCCCUGGACAACACCUGACACUGAGGCACGAAAGCUAGGGGAGCAAACAGG
rnacentral:rRNA from 1 species